UGGCAGAUACGGAACAGCUUAUCGGCAGUGAUGGGAAGGGCACUGGACUGGUUUUUAUAGAUAUACUACGUAGGAAGUGCCGAAUUUUCAAUAUCCGGUAUGGGAAAAAUCACAAUGUCAGUUGGAGCUCUUCAAAAUGUAAGAUUGGUCGUAGAAGCCUCUUCCAGUCGCAUGCUUAACCAACACACCCCUCGCUACCCCUUAAACAACCGGCGCAAAAACAGUGUUGCAAAGCGCCCCGCAGACAGGCCUCCGGAAUUCGAAAAGCGAAGAUGUGUGUUUAAUAGCAAUUAUUACAUAAUUUCGGGACAGAUAAUAAAACUUUCAGCUUAA